CCUCUCGCGUCAGGAUAUGCCUAGGUGGGAUUAGCUAGUUGGUGAGGUAAGGGCUCACCAAGGCGACGAUCCCUAGCUGGUCUGAGAGGAUGAUCAGCCACACUGGAACUGAGACACGGUCCAGACUCCUACGGGAGGCAGCAGUGGGGAAUAUUGCACAAUGGGCGCAAGCCUGAUGCAGCCAUGCCGCGUGUGUGAAGAAGGCCUUCGGGUUGUAAAGCACUUUCAGUCGUGAGGAAGGUAGUGUAGUUAAUAGCUGCAUUAUUUGACGUUAGCGACAGAAGAAGCACCGGCUAACUCCGUGCCAGCAGCCGCGGUAAUACGGAGGGUGCGAGCGUUAAUCGGAAUUACUGGGCGUAAAGCGCAUGCAGGUGGUUUGUUAAGUCAGAUGUGAAAGCCCGGGGCUCAACCUCGGAAUAGCAUUUGAAACUGGCAGACUAGAGUACUGUAGAGGGGGGUAGAAUUUCAGGUGUAGCGGUGAAAUGCGUAGAGAUCUGAAGGAAUACCGGUGGCGAAGGCGGCCCCCUGGACAGAUACUGACACUCAGAUGCGAAAGCGUGGGGAGCAAACAGGAUUAGAUACCCUGGUAGUCCACGCCGUAAACGAUGUCUACUUGGAGGUUGUGGCCUUGAGCCGUGGCUUUCGGAGCUAACGCGUUAAGUAGACCGCCUGGGGAGUACGGUCGCAAGAUUAAAACUCAAAUGAAUUGACGGGGGCCCGCACAAGCGGUGGAGCAUGUGGUUUAAUUCGAUGCAACGCGAAGAACCUUACCUACUCUUGACAUCCAAAGAACUUUCCAGAGAUGGAUUGGUGCCUUCGGGAACUCUGAGACAG
rnacentral:rRNA from 1 species